UCCGGCUUAACGCCGGCGGUUUCCUUAGAGUUCCCAGCAUAACCUGAUGGCAACUAAGGACGAGGGUUGCGCUCGUUGCGGGACUUAACCCAACAUCUCACGACACGAGCUGACGACAGCCAUGCAGCACCUGUGUUCGGUCCAGCCAAACUGAAGGAGAGCGUCUCUGCUCCCCGCGACCGACAUGUCAAGGCCUGGUAAGGUUCUUCGCGUUGCCUCGAAUUAAACCACAUGCUCCACCGCUUGUGCGGGUCCCCGUCAAUUCCUUUGAGUUUUAAUCUUGCGACCGUACUCCCCAGGCGGGAUGCUUAACGCGUUAGCUGCGCCACCGAGGCCUAAGGCCCCCACGGCUAGCAUCCAUCGUUUACGGCGUGGACUAC
rnacentral:misc_RNA from 1 species